CCCCCUUGUACAUGCCCUGGGAUAAAUUGGGGUAAUAGUGAGGGUUACAGCUACCCCAGUUUAUCCCAGGGCAUGUACUGGGGGG